rnacentral:rRNA from 1 species
UACGGAGGGUGCGAGCGUUAUCCGGAUUUACUGGGUUUAAAGGGGGCGCAGGCGGGCCUGUAAGUCAGUGGUGAAAUACUUGGGCUCAACCCGGGAACUGCCAUUGAUACUAUGGGCCUUGAGUGACGUUGAGGUUGCGGAAUGGGUCAUGUAGCGGUGAAAUGCAUAGAUAUGACCCGGAACACCUAUUGCGAAGGCAGCAGGCUAAACGUAUACUGACGCUGAGGCCCGAAAGCGAUGGGGAUCAAACAGGGAUUAAGAUGACCCUUG